rnacentral:tRNA from 2 species
UCCGGGGUGGUCUAACGGCAAGACACGGGCCUUUGGAGCCUGGUAUGGAGGUUCGACUCCUCCCCCCGGAA